GAUGAACACUGGCGGCGUGCCUAAUACAUGCAAGUCGAGCGAACAGACGAGGAGCUUGCUUCUCUGACGUUAGCGGCGGACGGGUGAGUAACACGUGGAUAACCUACCUAUAAGACUGGGAUAACUUCGGGAAACCGGAGCUAAUACCGGAUAAUAUAUUGAACCGCAUGGUUCAAUAGUGAAAGACGGUUUUGCUGUCACUUAUAGAUGGAUCCGCGCCGCAUUAGCUAGUUGGUAAGGUAACGGCUUACCAAGGCAACGAUGCGUAGCCGACCUGAGAGGGUGAUCGGCCACACUGGAACUGAGACACGGUCCAGACUCCUACGGGAGGCAGCAGUAGGGAAUCUUCCGCAAUGGGCGAAAGCCUGACGGAGCAACGCCGCGUGAGUGAUGAAGGUCUUCGGAUCGUAAAACUCUGUUAUUAGGGAAGAACAAAUGUGUAAGUAACUAUGCACGUCUUGACGGUACCUAAUCAGAAAGCCACGGCUAACUACGUG
rnacentral:rRNA from 1 species